rnacentral:rRNA from 1 species
UGAGGAAUAUUGGUCAAUGGGCGAGAGCCUGAACCAGCCAAGUAGCGUGCAGGAUGACGGCCCUAUGGGUUGUAAACUGCUUUUAUAUGGGAAUAAAGUGAGGGACGUGUCCCUUAUUGCAUGUACCAUAUGAAUAAGGACCGGCUAAUUCCGUGCCAGCAGCCGCGGUAAUACGGAAGGUCCAGGCGUUAUCCGGAUUUAUUGGGCGUAAAGGGCGUGUAGGCGGCUAGAUAAGUGUGAUGUUUAAAUCCAAGGCUUAACCUUGGGGUUCAUUACAAACUGUUUAGCUUGAGUGCUGGAGAGGAUAGUGGAAUUCCUAGUGUAGCGGUAAAAUGCGUAGAUAUUAGGAGGAACACCGGUGGCGAAGGCGGCUAUCUGGACAGUAACUGACGCUGAGGCGCGAAAGCGUGGGGAGCAAACAGG